UAUAUACUCCCUCCGUCCCAAAAUUCUUGUCUUUGAUUUGUCUAAAUACGGAUGUAUCAAGUCAUGUUUUAGUAUUAGAUACAUCCGUAUCUAGACAAAUCUAAAACAAGAAUUUUGGGACGGAUGGAGUAUAUA
rnacentral:pre_miRNA from 1 species